AUUGAACGCUGGCGGAAUGCUUUACACAUGCAAGUCGAACGGCAGCACGGGGGCAGCCCUGGUGGCGAGUGGCGAACGGGUGAGUAAUACAUCGGAACGUGCCCGGUCGUGGGGGAUAACGUAGCGAAAGUUACGCUAAUACCGCAUACGAUCUGAGGAUGAAAGCGGGGGACCUUCGGGCCUCGCGCGAUCGGAGCGGCCGAUGUCAGAUUAGGUAGUUGGUGGGGUAAAGGCCUACCAAGCCGACGAUCUGUAGCUGGUCUGAGAGGACGACCAGCCACACUGGGACUGAGACACGGCCCAGACUCCUACGGGAGGCAGCAGUGGGGAAUUUUGGACAAUGGGCGCAAGCCUGAUCCAGCCAUUCCGCGUGCAGGACGAAGGCCUUCGGGUUGUAAACUGCUUUUGUACUGAACGAAAAGGCUCUGGCUAAUACCUGGGGCUCAUGACGGUACCGUAAGAAUAAGCACCGGCUAACUACGUG
rnacentral:rRNA from 1 species